rnacentral:tRNA from 1 species
GGGGAUUUAGCUCAGUGGUAGAGCGCUUGCCUAGCAAAGGCCUAGCGCAAAGGUCCUGGGUUCGGUCCCCAGCUCCA